GAUGAACGCUGGCGGCGUGCCUAAUACAUGCAAGUCGAGCGGCAGCACGGUCUUCGGACUGGUGGCGAGCGGCGGACGGCUGAGUAACGCGUAGGAACAUGCCCUAAAGUGAGGAAUAACUGCCCGAAAGGGUGGCUAAUGCCGCAUGUGCUCUUCGGAGUAAAGCUUUAUGCGCUUUAGGAGUGGCCCGCGUCCGAUUAGCUAGUUGGUGAGGUAAAUGCUCACCAAGGCGACGAUCGGUAGCUGGUCUGAGAGGAUGAUCAGCCAGACUGGAACUGAGAACGGUCCAGACUCCUACGGGAGGCAGCAGUAGGGAAUUUUCCACAAUGGGCGAGAGCCUGAUGGAGCAACGCCGCGUGCAGGAUGAAUGCCUUCGGGUUGUAAACUGCUUUUAUGUGCGAAGAAUUUGACUGUAACACAUGAAUAAGGGUCGGCUAACUACGUGCCAGCCGCCGCAGUAA
rnacentral:rRNA from 1 species